GCGGAUGUGGCGGAAUUGGCAGACGCACCAGACUUAGGAUCUGGCGCCGAGAGGCAUGGGGGUUCAAGUCCCUUCAUCCGCACCA
rnacentral:tRNA from 1 species